AUUGAACGCUGGCGGCAGGCCUAACACAUGCAAGUCGAACGAGUGGCGGAAGGGUGAGUAAUGUCUGGGAAACUGCCCGAUGGAGGGGGCUAACUACUGGAAACGGUAGCUAAUACCGCAUACCAUCGGAUGUGCCCAGGUGGGAUUUGCAAGGAGGUGGGGUAACGGCUCACCUAGGCGACGAUCCCUAGCUGGUCUGAGAGGAUGACCAGCCACACUGGAACUGAGACACGGUCCAGACUCAUACGGGAGGCAGCAGUGGGGAAUAUUGCACAAUGGGCGCAAGCCUGAUGCAGCCAUGCCGCGUGUAUGAAGAAGGCCUUCGGGUUGUAAAGUACUUUCAGCGAGGAGGCGUUACUCGCAGAGGAAGCACCGGCUAACUCCGUGCCAGCCGCCGCGGUAAUUC
rnacentral:rRNA from 1 species